GCGAAAUACAGGGGGUACCGGUACAGAGUCAAUGUGGAGGCUAUAUACAGGGGGUACUGGUACAGAGUCAAUGUGGAGGCUAUAUACAGGGUAUUACGGUACAGAGUCAAUGUGGAGGCUAUAUACAGGGUAUUACGGUACUUAGUCAAUGUGGAGGCUAUAUACAGGGUGUUACGGUACAGAGUCAAUGUGGAGGCUAUAUACAGGGUGUUACGGUACAGAGUCAAUGUGGAGACUAUAUACAGGGUGUUACGGUACAGAGUCAAUGUGGAGGCUAUAUACAGGGUGUUACGGUACAGAGUCAAUGUGGAGGCUAUAUACAGGGUGUUACGGUACAGAGUCAAUGUGGAGACUAUAUACAGGGUGUUACGGUACAGAGUCAAUGUGGAGGCUAUAUACAGGGUGUUAUGGUACAGAGUCAAUGUGGAGGCUAUAUACAGGGUGUUAAGGUACAGAGUCAAUGUGGAGGCUAUAUACAGGGGUACCGGUACAGAGUCAAUGUGGAGGCUAUAUACAGGGUGUACCGGUACAGAGUCAAUGUGGAGGCUAUAUACAGGGUGUUACGGUACAGAGUCAAUGUGGAGGCUAUAUACAGGGGGUACCGGUACAGAGUCAAUGUGGAGGCUAUAUACAGGGGUACCGGUACAGAGUCAAUGUGGAGGCUAUAUACAGGGUGUUAUGGUACAGAGUCAAUGUGGAGGCUAUAUACAGG
ensembl:lncRNA